AAGAGAAUAUUGUUAUAAAAGAAGCUGCUAACUAUCUUUUAAAGCGGUUAAAGUCCGUUUUUCUCUUA
rnacentral:tRNA from 1 species